AGCAGCCGCGGUAAUUCCAGCUCCAAUAGCGUAUAUUAAAGUUGUUGCAGUUAAAAAGCUCGUAGUUGAAUUUCGGGAUCAAUACGUCGGUCGUGCUUCGGUACGUACUGGCGUAAUUGAUUUCUCCCUUCUGACGAACCAUGAUGUCAUUAACUUGGUGUCAUGGGAAAUCAGGACUGUUACUUUGAAAAAAUUAGAGUGUUUAAAGCAGGCUCACGCUUGAAUACAUUAGCAUGGAAUAAUGAAAUAGGACGUUCGAUCCUAUUUUGUUGGUUUUUAGGAUCAACGUAAUGAUUAAUAGGGAUAGUUGGGGGCAUUAGUAUUCAAUUGUCAGAGGUGAAAUUCUUGGAUUUAUUGAAGACUAACUACUGCGAAAGCAUUUGCCAAGGAUGUUUUCAUUAAUCAAGAACGAAAGUUAGGGGAUCGAAGACGAUCAGAUACCGUCGUAGUCUUAACCAUAAACUAUGCCGACUAGGGAUCGGAUGAUGUUAAUUUUUUAAUGACUCAUUCGGCGCCUUACG
rnacentral:rRNA from 2 species